UACGUAGGGGGCAAGCGUUGUCCGGAUUUAUUGGGCGUAAAGAGCGUGUAGGCGGCCACACAGGUCUGCUGUGAAAACUCGAGGCUCAACCUCGAGCUGUCGGUGGAAACCGUGUGGCUAGAGUCCGGAAGAGGAGAGUGGAAUUCCCGGUGUAGCGGUGAAAUGCGCAGAUAUCGGGAGGAACACCGGUGGCGAAGGCGGGUCUCUGGGCCGAUACUGACGCUGAGGAGCGAAAGCGUGGGGAGCGAACAGG
rnacentral:rRNA from 1 species